GACGAACGCUGGCGGCGUGCUUAACACAUGCAAGUCGAACGGAAAGGCCCUGCUUUUGUGGGGUGCUCGAGUGGCGAACGGGUGAGUAACACGUGAGUAACCUGCCCUUGACUUUGGGAUAACUUCAGGAAACUGGGGCUAAUACCGGAUAGGAGCUCCUGCUGCAUGGUGGGGGUUGGAAAGUUUCGGCGGUUGGGGAUGGACUCGCGGCUUAUCAGCUUGUUGGUGGGGUAGUGGCUUUCCAAGGCUUUGACGGGUAGCCGGCCUGAGAGGGUGACCGGCCACAUGGGGACUGAGAUACGCCCCAGACUCCUACGGGAGGCAGCAGUGGGGAAUAUUGCACAAUGGGCGGAAGCCUGAUGCAGCAACGCCGCGUGCGGGAUGACGGCCUUCUGGUUGUAAACCGCUUUCGCCUGUGACGAAGCGUGAGUGACGGUAAUGGGUAAAGAAGCACCGGCUAACUACGUG
rnacentral:rRNA from 1 species